rnacentral:rRNA from 1 species
UACGGGGGGAGCAAGCGUUGUUCGGAUUUACUGGGCGUAAAGGGCGCGUGGGCGGCUUAACAAGUCACUUGUGAAAUCUCCGGGCUUAACUCGGAACGGCCAAGUGAAACUGUCAAGCUAGAGUGCAGAAGGGGCAAUCGGAAUUCUUGGUGUAGCGGUGAAAUGCGUAGAUAUCAAGAGGAACACCUGAGGUGAAGACGGGUUGCUGGGCUGACACUGACGCUGAGGCGCGAAAGCCAGGGGAGCAAACGGG